GGUAAAUUGUUACUAUGCUGUGUUCAGCAAAGCUCCAGUUUCUUCAUCAAUGCAGCCUUGAAGUAUGGCAGAUUUUCUGGCAAAAACCUGUCUGCAGAUGCCUUUCUACUGACCACAGCCAUCUCCUAUUGAGAAAAAUGGAAGAUUUCUUUUUCUUUUUUUUAAAAAGAGGAUUGGAAAGAAAAUCCGCAACAAUACCCUCCGUGAUGAAUGAAGAUUUCACAUAAUGCAAGAAUAUGAAGAAGAAUCGAGAUGCAUACCUCAUAAUUUGAUGACACCGAAGUAUUAUGUAGAAUAGAUAAAAUUUUCCCAGGGUCACGUUGACAACUGCAGACUUAGCACAGCAGAUAUUUAAUGUUUUAAAAUGAGGACAUUUAUUUAAAGUGCAGUGUCAAAAUUAAAUGAGAAAAAUAAAACUAUAUAUAACUUGCA